GACAACCUGCCCUUAGGUUGGGUAUAAACCCGGGAAACUGGGUAUAAUACCCGAUAGGUCUCGAUUGCUGGAAUGCAUCGAGAUUUAAAGCUCCGGCGCCUAAGGAUGGGUCUGCGGCCUAUCAGGUAGUAGUGGGUGUAGCGUACCUACUAGCCUACGACGGGUACGGGUUGUGAGAGCAAGAGCCCGGAGAUGGAUUCUGAGACACGAAUCCAGGCCCUACGGGGUGCAGCAGGCGCGAAAACUUUACAAUGCUGGCAACAGCGAUAAGGGAACCUCGAGUGCCAGGUUACAAAUCUGGCUGUCGAGAUGCCUAAAAAGCAUUUCAUAGCAAGGGCCGGGCAAGACCGGUGCCAGCCGCCGCGGUAACACCGGCGGCUCGAGUGGUAACCGUUAUUAUUGGGUCUAAAGGGUCUGUAGCCGGCCGGAUAAGUCUCUUGAGAAAUCUGGCAGCUUAACUGUCAGGCUUUCAGGAGAUACUGUCUGGCUCGAGGCCGGGAGAGGUGAGAGGUACUUCAGGGGUAGGGGUGAAAUCUUGUAAUCCUUGAAGGACCACCAGUGGCGAAGGCGUCUCACCAGAACGGACCUGACGGCAAGGGACGAAAGCUAGGGGCACGAACCGGAUUAGAUACCCGGGUAGUCCUAGCCGUAAACGAUACUCGCUAGGUGUCGGCCACGGUGCGACCGUUGUCGGUGCCGUAGGGAAGCCGUGAAGCGAGCCACCUGGGAAGUACGGCCGCAAGGCUGAAACUUAAAGGA
rnacentral:rRNA from 1 species